CCUGUCAGAUCCGAUAGCAACUCCGAGGUAAUUUGUUGCCCCAUUCUCCUCAAUAGGCAGUCGACCCACCGAUUCCGCUACCCCGAAUUCCAGUAGGAGCAUGAGCAACGGUGGAAGGACGACCCCGACGCCUUGGACCAGGUCAUGACACCGGAAGUCGGAGGUGGAGUCAAUUGCCAGGUGCUUCUCUCUCUCUCUCUCUCACCAAUGGCUACAAUAACGUUGAUGUGUUCCCUUUGCAGAAGACUUCGAGCAGCGGCGACGGAAAAUUUUGUGCGGCUGUUGCGUGGGGAAGAAGAGGUACGGCAUUGGGAGAAGGUAGAUGGGCGGGAAUUGCAGAAGCUCGCGGCCAUGGGGAGGUUGGUUGUGGUGUGUUGGGUGUAGUGGGGUCGGAGUUCCAGGGCUUCCUCGAGCUCCCUGUCAAGUUCGUGGUGGAGAUUUGUCAUUACCACACCAGUGCGAGGAGGAUGACCCCCCGCGUCUGCAUCGAUCGUUACACACAGCCAUCAAUUGAUUUCUUUCAUGUUGCUUGAUGCAGGAUAAUUCCCUUGAUUGGCGGCCGUUUGUGUAUUCCUGAAUUUCUAAUUGCCUGCUAUUCCCCAUUCCAACUACAUAAGGUUACGGCGGUCUUCUUGCGGAGGGGGAGCUUUCGGUGGUUGGGCUCCGUCUGAUGCGUCGGUCUUCUCCGGUCUGCUUGGUUGGUGGCGUCUUUUGGCUGCUGGGCUUCGUUGGUCUGCUCGCCUUCCUGCGCUCGA